rnacentral:rRNA from 1 species
AUGCACGCUGGCGGCGUGCUUAACACAUGCAAGUCGCACGAUGAAGCCCAGCUUGCUGGGUGGAUUAGUGGCGAACGGGUGAGUAACACGUGAGUAACCUGCCCUUAACUCUGGGAUAAGCCUGGGAAACUGGGUCUAAUACCGGAUAGGAGCGCCUACCGCAUGGUGGGUGUUGGAAAGAUUUAUCGGCUUUGGAUGGACUCGCGGCCUAUCAGCUUGUUGGUGAGGUAAUGGCUCACCAAGGCGACGACGGGUAGCCGGCCUGAGAGGGUGACCGGCCACACUGGGACUGAGACACGGCCCAGACUCCUACGGGAGGCAGCAGUGGGGAAUAUUGCACAAUGGGCGAAAGCCUGAUGCAGCGACGCCGCGUGAGGGAUGACGGCCUUCGGGUUGUAAACCUCUUUCAGUAGGGAAGAAGCGAAAGUGACGGUACCUGCAGAAGAAGCACCGGCUAACUACGUG